UUAAAAACUGUGACGGGAUAAGUAAAAUAAGCGGCGAUUUAAAGAGAGCUCAUGUUGGUGGAAAUUGAGUAAUUGACGUUAUUUGAAAAUGGUCCUUGAGUUUCAUUGAAGGUGAGUUGAUUAACAAGCCGACAACGGGUUCGCCCGAUAAAGCAAUAGGAAUCAGUAUUUGGUUCUGAAACUAGAGGUGGAAAAAUUAUUUUCCAUGAACUAAGGUGGUAACACGAAGCUCAAGCUUUCGUCCUUUAC
rnacentral:ncRNA from 1 species